UACGUAGGGUGCAAGCGUUGUCCGGAAUUAUUGGGCGUAAAGAGCUCGUAGGCGGUCUGUCGCGUCUGCUGUGAAAACUCGGGGCUUAACCCCGGGCCUGCAGUGGGUACGGGCAGACUAGAGUGCGGUAGGGGAGACUGGAAUUCCUGGUGUAGCGGUGAAAUGCGCAGAUAUCAGGAGGAACACCGUGGCGAAGGCGGGCUCUG
rnacentral:rRNA from 1 species